UACGGAGGAUGCGAGCGUUAUCCGGAUUUAUUGGGUUUAAAGGGUGCGUAGGCGGAUGAACAAGUCAGUGGUGAAAGGCUGAAGCUUAACUGUAGACUUGCCGUUGAUACUGUUUAUCUUGAGUGUGGUCAAGGCAGGCGGAAUGUGUAAUGUAGCGGUGAAAUGCUUAGAUAUUACACAGAACACCGAUUGCGAAGGCAGCUUGCUGGGCCAUUACUGACGCUGAUGCACGAAAGCGUGGGGAGCGAACA
rnacentral:rRNA from 1 species